rnacentral:rRNA from 1 species
CCUACGAGAGGCAGCAGUGAGGAAUAUUGGUCAAUGGACGGAAGUCUGAACCAGCCAUGCCGCGUGCAGGCAGCCUGCUCUAUGAGUUGUAAACUGCUUUUGUACAAGAGUAAACCUGAAUACUUGUAUUCAGCUGAAAGUACUUUACGAAUAAGGAUCGGCUAACUCCGUGCCAGCAGCCGCGGUAAUCCGGAGGAUCCAAGCGUUAUCCGGAUUUAUUGGGUUUAAAGGGUGCGUAGGCGGAUUGAUAAGUUAGAGGUGAAAUGUCCGAGCUUAACUCGGGAACUGCCUCUAAUACGGUGGAUCUAGAGAGUAGAUGCGGUAGGCGGAAUGUAUGGUGUAGCGGUGAAAUGCUUAGAGAUCAUACAGAACACCGAUUGCGAAGGCAGCUUACCAAUCUAUAUCUGACGUUGAGGCACGAAAGCGUGGGGAGCAAACAGGAUUAGAUACCCGGGUAGUC